GACGAACGCUGGCGGCGUGCUUAACACAUGCAAGUCGAACGGAAAGGCCCUGCUUUUGUGGGGUGCUCGAGUGGCGAACGGGUGAGUAACACGUGAGUAACCUGCCCUUGACCUUGGGAUAACUUCAGGAAACUGGGGCUAAUACCGGAUAGGAGCUCCUGCUGCAUGGUGGGGGUUGGAAAGUUUCGGCGGUUGGGGAUGGACUCGCGGCUUAUCAGCUUGUUGGUGGGGCAGUGGCUUACCAAGGCUUUGACGGGUAGCCGGCCUGAGAGGGUGACCGGCCACAUUGGGACUGAGAAACGGCCCAGACUCCUACGGGAGGCAGCAGUGGGGAAUAUUGCACAAUGGGCGGAAGCCUGAUGCAGCAACGCCGCGUGCGGGAUGACGGCCUUCGGGUUGUAAACCGCUUUCGCCUGUGACGAAGCGUGAGUGACGGUAAUGGGUAAAGAAGCACCGGCUAACUACGUG
rnacentral:rRNA from 1 species